CUCUUUGCAACCAUGUGCUUAAUGGAGUCUUGUGUCUGUCCUGGGAGAUAAUUGAAUUACUCUCCAGGAUAGAAGUCUCUGAAACUGGUUUGGGCCAGAAAGCCAUGCUUCAUUUAGUCACAAAGGACUUUUUACUAACUUUUGAACCUCUUGUCUGAUUUGUGCCAUUUUUUUAAUAUGUUGCUCCCCUGAAUGGAUUGAUUCCAAAUAUGUAAUUUUAUGUGAAUGUGA